rnacentral:rRNA from 1 species
GAUGAACGCUGGCGGCGUGCCUAAUACAUGCAAGUCGAGCGAACAGACGAGGAGCUUGCUCCUUUGACGUUAGCGGCGGACGGGUGAGUAACACGUAGGUAACCUACCUAUAAGACUGGGAUAACUUCGGGAAACCGGAGCUAAUACCGGAUAAUAUUUCGAACCGCAUGGUUCGAUAGUGAAAGAUGGCUUUGCUAUCACUUAUAGAUGGGCCUGCGCCGUAUUAGCUAGUUGGUAAGGUAACGGCUUACCAAGGCAACGAUACGUAGCCGACCUGAGAGGGUGAUCGGCCACACUGGAACUGAGACACGGUCCAGACUCCUACGGUAGGCAGCAGUAGGGAAUCUUCCGCAAUGGGCGAAAGCCUGACGGAGCAACGCCGCGUGAGUGAUGAAGGUCUUCGGAUCGUAAAACUCUGUUAUUAGGGAAGAACAAACGUGUAAGUAACUGUGCACGUCUUGACGGUACCUAAUCAGAAAGCCACGGCUAACUACGUG